rnacentral:snRNA from 1 species
GGAAGCCCAGAAGUACAUAUACUAAAAUUGGAAUGAUAAAGAGAAGAUUAGCAUCCUGAGCAAGGAUGACAUGCAAAUUCAUGAAGUGUUCCAUAUUUUU